UUGCUUCAGUAGCAGAUAUGCUUAAAUUGGAAAGACAUGGAGAAAAUUAGCAUGGCCCCUGUACAAGGAUAACACACGUAUCCUGAAGCAUUCCAUGUUUUG
ensembl:snRNA U6 U6 spliceosomal RNA